ACGGGUGAGUAAUACAUCGGAACGUAUCCUGGAGUGGGGGAUAGCCCGGCGAAAGCCGGAUUAAUACCGCAUACGCUCUGAGGAGGAAAGCGGGGGACCUUCGGGCCUCGCGCUCAAGGGGCGGCCGAUGGCGGAUUAGGUAGUUGGUGGGGUAAAGGCCUACCAAGCCGACGAUCCGUAGCUGGUCUGAGAGGACGACCAGCCACACUGGGACUGAGACACGGCCCAGACUCCUACGGGAGGCAGCAGUGGGGAAUUUUGGACAAUGGGGGCAACCCUGAUCCAGCAAUGCCGUGUGUGUGAAGAAGGCCUUCGGGUUGUAAAGCACUUUUGUCCGGAAAGAAAUCAUCGGGGCCAAUACCCCUGGUGGAUGACGGUACCGGAAGAAUAAGCACCGGCUAACUACGUGCCAGCAGCCGCGGUAAUACGUAGGGUGCGAGCGUUAAUCGGAAUUACUGGGCGUAAAGCGUGCGCAGGCGGUGCUGUAAGACCGAUGUGAAAUCCCCGGGCUUAACCUGGGAACUGCAUUGGUGACUGCAGCGCUGGAGUAUGGCAGAGGGGGGUGGAAUUCCACGU
rnacentral:rRNA from 1 species